rnacentral:rRNA from 1 species
UUGACCUCGGAUCAGGUAGGGAUACCCGCUGAACUUAAGCAUAUCAUAGGCGGAGGA